UCCCAACUCCUAUCUUCCGAUCGUUUUUAUCCCGAACCCUUCUCCCAACUCCUCAUCUCACGCGGCCUUCUCCAUCCAACUCCUCUCUGGCGAACCACUCCUCCGAACUCCUCUCCGUCAAGACCACACCUUCGUCAAGCGGUAGAUCCUGGUGCUAAGGCGAUCGAUCACGACAGAUCGACUCAUCUCUUCGCCUCCUUCACCCCCGACGUUGAGGCGGUGACUGGUAUAAGGAGGACAAGAUGAGCGUGUGUCCAGUGCUAGCCUCGGACACCCAUGGCAACCUGGACGAACAGAUCACGCAGCUCAUGCAGUGCAAGCCGCUCGCCGAACAGGAGGAUACAUCUCGCCCUUUCCCUCGCUUAUUUUCGUCCGAUCGCUCCUUCAAUUUAUUCCUUCUCUGGUCAAGAUGUUUGUUUUGGGGGUUUUCUGCUCGAUUCAUGUGUAUUCUUUAUAGAUCUGAGGUUGAGUGGGUAUUUAGCAAUUUACAGAUCUGCGAUGCGUAUUCAUGCAUACCUCUCUUCCUUCCUUGCAAAAUUUCCAUUUUUUUUAACGUUCUUCCAUGAUCUUAUCACUGCCUGUGGAUGCGAGGGGCAGGCCCCGAUCGAGCCCAACAAGCAGAUUUCCUCCAUGGUAGAGGAGGCAGCGAGGUUAGCUAGGCAUUUCUGCGAGAUGGAGUGGCCUGUGCUCGUCUUCCUCGAUUCCCACCACCCAAACAAGCCUGAGCCUCCUUAUCCGCCUCACUGCGUUGUGGGAUCAGGGGAGGAGGAUCUGGUUCCAGUUUUGCAGUUUUAUGGUUGUAUAGCAGAUGAGUUGAGCUAGAGCAUUUAAAGAGGAGGAUUCCGUUGUCAUGUAUAAAGUUGGUGAGCUUAACAUGCCUGUUGGGUUUCUAUUCUUUCACAAAGCUUUCAUAUUGAGCCGCAGGAGGCAAGCAGGAAGAAAUCAAACGCCCUGUUGAUGGACCAGCCGCAGGAGGCAAGCUUCCAGAUGACAUUGUGAUUGGGUUUCUAGUUACAUGCAUUAAUUGUUUGUUCUAUUAACAAGGAAUAGAGGUUAGGGUGCUUUGUGAAAAAGCUAAGGAGGUUUUAAUGGAAGAAAGCAAUGUUCAGACCAACUGUUCAAUCUGUUCAAAGCUCACAAAGAUCCUAGACAAAAUCCAAUUGCUUAUUCCUGUAAUAGAUUGAGAAAGACAAGCUACUUCUUCAGUAUUGUGGUAGUAAUUACUGUACUGUUUUGUUCCGUUUUCAAGCCGAAAAUAAUUUUUGAGUGUAGCUAGUAGAAGUAAACAGAUUGUUGGCUUCGAGGUCGGCUAGUUAUUUUGUGCUCUUUUGUUUUAUUUGUGAAUAUCACUAUCUACUUUGAAA